ACCUUCCCAGUUGGAUAGACCCUUCCAGUAGACAAGACCCUUCCAGUACGCUAGGUCCUCCCAGUAAGACCCUUCCAGUUGGCUAGGUCCUCCCAGUAAGACCUUUCCAGUAGGCUAGGUCCUUCCAGUUGGAUAGACCCUUCCAGUUGGCUAGGUCCUCCCAGUAAGACCUUCCCAGUUGGCUAGGUCCUCCCAGUAAGACCCUUCCAGUAGACCUCUUCCAGUUGGCCAACCCAAUCCACUCAACUCCUCCAGCCAACUGGUUCCACCUGGCCCCAAACUCCUCCACUCUUUCCCCAAAAACGUCUCCACUCAUUCCCCAAAAUUUUCUCCGCUCGUUCCCCAAAAUUCUCCGCUCUUUCCCCAAAAACUUCUCCGCUCGUUCCCCAAAAUUCUCCGUUCUUUCCCCAAAUUUUUCUCCGCUCGUCCCCCAAAAACUUUUCUCCGCUCUUUCUUCCCCAAAAAACGCCUCCGCUCUUUUUUUCCCCAAACUUUUUUCUGCUCGUUCCCCAAAAUUCUCCGCUCUUUCCCCAAAAAGUCUCCACUCUUUCCUUCCCCAAAAAUGCCUCCGCUCUUUCUUUCCCCAAAUUUUCCGCUCGUUCCCCAAAAACGUCUCCGCUCUUUCUUUCCCCCAAAUUUUCCGCUCGUCCCCCAAAAACGUCUCCGCUCUUUCUUUCCCCAAAUUUUCUCCGCUCUUUCCCCAAAAUUCUCUGCUCUUUCUUUCCCCAAACAACUUCUCCUCUCUUUCUCUCCCCAAAAACUUCUCCGCUCGUUCCCCAAAAUUCUCCACUCGUUCCCCAAAAUUCUCCGCUCUUUCUUUCCCCCAAAAACGCCUCCGUUCAUUCCCCAAAAACGUCUCCGCUCUUUCUU
rnacentral:lncRNA from 1 species